GAUGAACGCUGGCGGCGUGCCUAACACAUGCAAGUCGAGCGAUUCUCUUCGGAGAAGAGCGGCGGACGGGUGAGUAACGCGUGGGUAACCUGCCCUGUACACACGGAUAACAUACCGAAAGGUAUGCUAAUACGAGAUAAUAUACUUUUAUCGCAUGGUAGAAGUAUCAAAGCUUUUGCGGUACAGGAUGGACCCGCGUCUGAUUAGCUAGUUGGUAAGGUAACGGCUUACCAAGGCGACGAGCAGUAGCCGACCUGAGAGGGUGAUCGGCCACAUUGGAACUGAGACACGGUCCAAACUCCUACGGGAGGCAGCAGUGGGGAAUAUUGCACAAUGGGCGAAAGCCUGAUGCAGCAACGCCGCGUGAGCGAUGAAGGCCUUCGGGUCGUAAAGCUCUGUCCUCAAGGAAGAUAAUGACGGUACUUGAGGAGGAAGCCCCGGCUAACUCUGUGCCAGCAGCCGCGGUAA
rnacentral:rRNA from 1 species